CAGCAGCCGCGGGAAUACGAAGGGGGCUAGCGUUGCUCGGAAUCACUGGGCGUAAAGGGUGCGUAGGCGGGUCUUUAAGUCAGAGGUGAAAUCCUGGAGCUCAACUCCAGAACUGCCUUUGAUACUGAGGAUCUUGAGUUCGGGAGAGGUGAGUGGAACUGCGAGUGUAGAGGUGAAAUUCGUAGAUAUUCGCAAGAACACCAGUGGCGAAGGCGGCUCACUGGCCCGAUACUGACGCUGAGGCACGAAAGCGUGGGGAGCAAACAGGAUUAGAUACCCCGGUAGUCCCUGUCUCUUAUAC
rnacentral:rRNA from 1 species